UACGGAGGGUGCGAGCGUUAAUCGGAAUUACUGGGCGUAAAGAGCACGUAGGUGGUUUGAUAAGUCAGGUGUGAAAGCCCUGGGCUUAACCUGGGAAUUGCAUUUGAUACUGUCAAACUAGAGUCUAAGAGAGGAAUGCGGAAUUCCGGGUGUAGCGGUGAAAUGCGUAGAUAUCCGGAGGAACAUCAGUGGCGAAGGCGGCAUUCUGGACUAAGACUGACACUGAGGUGCGAAAGCGUGGGGAGCAAACAGG
rnacentral:rRNA from 1 species